rnacentral:rRNA from 1 species
UACGUAGGGUGCGAGCGUUGUCCGGAAUUACUGGGCGUAAAGAGCUCGUAGGUGGUUUGUCGCGUUGUUCGUGAAAUCUCACGGCUUAACUGUGAGCGUGCGGGCGAUACGGGCAGACCUGAGUACUGCAGGGGAGACUGGAAUUCCUGGUGUAGCGGUGGAAUGCGCAGAUAUCAGGAGGAACACCAAUGGCGAAGGCAGCUCGCUGGGACGGUACUGACGCUGAGGCGCGAAAGCGUGGGGAGCAAACAGG